AAGUGAUCUGCUAAGAAGGAGGAACUAAGCUAUUGCAUUCUUCUAAGGGUUUGAGUUCCCAAAGUAGGGUCUGAAUCAUCCUGGGAAGCCGGGACACAUGCCAGGAUCCCAGACUCAAAUAGGCUGUUUCCGCUUGGGGAUUCGCUGUCUUGUGACGGAGAGAGAGGUGAGACCCUCCUGCUCUUUGUAACAUCAGAGAAAGUUGUGAAGUCUAUACUACUGAACCAAAAGCUGUUAAAGAAAAAAUAAAGUGUGCUAUCAAGCCUUCUAGACAGGUUAUAAGAACAAGCAUGAAGAGAUCAUGAGGACUUUAUAAAAAAUCUCUUGGAACAGAUUCUUAGAAGAGUGAGGGCUGGUCCCGAGAGAAGAUACUUACAUCCCGUAAAAGAGAAGAUUUUGAAAUGGAACAUCUGGAAUAUAGCAACAAGUAGUGGAUGUGACUCUUACCUCAUUCCUUUGAUUCAUUCCAUGUUCUUUUUUUCCCUAGUGUGACAUGGCUGAAAAAAUUUCUUAUUGAUCCCUCAAAACAACUAAUACAAAGAGCAAAAAUACUAAUGAGUCAUCUAGACUGACACAGGGGAUGAGGGUACUGGGCAAGGAUAACAUACCCUUCUACAGAAUCAGGACCUUGUGUGACUCCUUUCCCUUUCUUGGCCUCUGAUCUAAUAUAGAUGGACACUGGUACAGAAGGUACUAGCAAAAGGGAUUAGGGGUGUGGGUUUUGGAGUGAGAGGAACCAUUAAUUGAUGGUUGUAUGAUCUAUGGCAACUUAUUUGUCAUGUCCUGAUAAUUAAAGGUGUCUUUUUUUCCCUCAUCUUCCUCCUCUCCCACCUGCUCUCCUCCUUCUUUUUCCUAUUAUUCUACUGUACAUCCAAAAUUUGAAUGAUAGAAAAGUGGUUAUUACAUUUCCCACUUUUAUUUUCAUUGCAUGUUCCACAAACCUUUGAUUUUAUAACUUUUCAACUGACAAACAUGAGAAGAGUCAGACAUAUACCAUUACUUUUAUAUUACAGAUAUAGCAUCUCUAAUCAGAUAUAUUAUUCAAACAGUGGACUUCAUUAGCUAGAAGACUCAUUAAAAGAAAUCCUGAGCAUAUGAACUGGAAAAUCUAAGAUGCACAUGCAGAUGUUUCUGAGCAUGUGUUUUUUGAAACAUCUGUGUGUAAGGUACAUGGUCACAUACAGCUCACUGUAAUGUCAUGUCUACAGAAUGUGCACCAUCCUACUGACAACUCCCUAAGGGUCAGAUUACUGAAGACAUCUGCCACAUCAUACCCUGUUUCCUACAUCCUCUCUGUCACCUUCUACUGUACAGUGGCUCCUUAUAUCUGCUGCUGACUGGAAAGGUGCACUAGAGCAACGUGGUAUGAUGGCUCUCCAGCAUGCAGAUUGCCAUGGUUGAAAUAGCUAGACUCCAAUUGUGUUGUCUGUUAGUGGAUAUCAGCCAAAGCUGGAAGGUGAGACCAAUAGGAUAGAGGUUCCAGGCCAUCCUGGGGAAGAAAAUUGCAAGAGACUUCAU